rnacentral:lncRNA from 1 species
CACAGCAGAAAUUAUUAAUUAACCUAAUUAAUUAACAUGUGUUUAUCCUACACUAGGAUCUAAAUAUAAUAUAUAGCAUGCAUGCAUUUAAAUUUGAAAUUCAAAUUUGAACAGUAAACAAUUUACUGCUAUGUGUUCAGAACACAUUACCUUUGUGUGGGUAGUCGAUCGUCGUAAUCUGAUCACCGUUGGGAGGAUCUGAUCGUCGCAACAUAGCCACACAGCAUGUCUAGCCUCUGCGGAUCAUCCACAUGAAGCUCCCAGUC